AUGGGGGAUGAAGCUGUGCUGGAGAGUAUACUUAACGGAGAAAUGGGGCCGACACAUAUGCCAUUUGCACUUUUAGAGCGCAUCACGGAGAAUUUCUCCGAGGAGAGAAAAAUUGGCCAGGGUGGAUUUGCGUUGGUCUACAAGGGAAUUUACAAUGGAGAAGACAUUGCUGUGAAAAAGUUUUAUGAUGUGCAAACACUUGACAACAAGCAUUUUGAGAAUGAAUGUGAUAAGCUUAUAAAGAUCAAACAUCCAAAUAUUGUACGGUUAGUUGGCUAUUGUUACGAAACACAACACAAAUAUGUAGAGUACAAAGGUGUUUUGCAGUUUGCUCAUCACAUAUGCCGAAUUCUCUGCUUUGAGUACCUGCAGGGAGGAAGCCUAGAAAAUCACCUUAAUGAAUCUCGUGACCAUGACUGGCCGACAUGUUACAAUAUAAUAGAGGGGACAUGUGAAGCUUUAAAUUUCCUUCACAAGGGAUAUGGAUCACGAGUUCUUCACCUGGAUCUAAAACCCGGGAACAUACUACUGGAUAAGUACAUGGGGGCAAAAGUUGCAGACUUUGGAUUGUCAACGUCCUUCAAUAAAACCCGUAUCACAAAUACAACUACAGGAACAGAGUAUUAUAUGGCACCAGAGUUCAAGUCUAAAAGGGUGAUCUCACCUAAGAAUGAUGUUUACAGUUUAGGGAUUAUAAUCAUAGAGAUAAUGGCUGGACGUAUAGGCUACAAAAUUUUCAGUGCAAUGGGUGAUGACCCACAGGAAUUAUUUAUUGAGCAGGUAAUUACAAAUUGGCGCGGACGGAUAAAUGCAACAACAUCACCAUUCCCAUCAGCAGAAUUAGAUCAAGUGGAGACAUGCAUCAAAAUAGCAAUAAAAUGUGUGGAUCUUAAUAGAAAGAAUAGACCCACUGUAGCAGAAAUUUUGGCUGCCAUGCAGAAGACAGAAAAAAGGUUUCUGGCGGAAUGGAGGAAUCACGCAGAAUUUCAUGUGGACGAGAGCUUGCCCAUUCCCACUAAGAGUGAAUCAAGAGGUGGAAGUGGAGGUGAAGUUGUUGACAUCAAAGAACAUCCUUGGCGUCUGCAUAGUCUGACGAUUAGCUACCAAGGGUUAAUCGACGCCUUCUCGUUUUCUUACAUUGACCAAUAUGGGGAGAAGCAACAUGUAGGUCCUUGGGGCGAACAACACAGUUACCACAAAACUGAAACGAUCCGCUUCAGCCCUUCGGAGUUUGUAGAGGAAGUAUCUGGAGCUUACGGGAGUCAUUUUGAAAACCUGCUUGUGACGUCCCUUACAUUUGUCACGAACGUCAGAACCUACGGACCUUUCGGAAAUCCUAAUCAUCAAAAUGUGGCAGCAGCUCCUCUCAAGUUCAUGGCUGACGAGGGCAGCAGCAUCGUGGCGUUCCAUGGUAGAUCUGGUAGCCAUCUCUUUUCGAUAGGUGUUUACAUGUAUCCCAACAAUAAGAGGAAGGGCAGAACUCUUUUGGCACCGGUGAUUCCUGACGGCGAGAGCUUGCCCAAUCCCAGGAGUGCACAAGACCUUCCCACUCGAGGUGGACCUGGAGGUAUCAGAGGGAAGCCUUGGCAUCAGAGACUGACGAUUCGCUUUGCUGUGCGGGCGUCUAUUUGCUUUGUUCUGCUGUUGCUUGUGUCUAUUUGGUGUAUGUACAGAGGAAACCCUUGGCAUCAUGGUCUCCAAGUUCCGGAGAAGCUUUCCAAUGACAGUUCAGGAAGGGAGCCACUGGACGUGGUGAUUGUGUAUGCCUUUGAUUCCACUAACUCGACCUCAGCCUGGUACACGGUGGAUAGGGGGAUCUUUUGGAUGGUGCAAGAGAAGCUCACCCACUUCGCUGGCAGCUGCAUGGGUUACAUAUACGUCAUGUCAACCCCUAACACGUACACAUGGGACAUGAAAGUAGUUGACCCAGCUGAUGCAAAAGCUGGGUACACGAAAUUCGACCGGCACAGGACGACCUGCACAAAAAGCAUGGCAUCAGGCCUCGCCAAGGCACAUAAAAUGAUCAGCAGCUGCGGGCACCACAAUAGCAUCAUCUUGUUCUUCUCCGAUGGAUUAAUAAACAAGGGAGACUUUUUUGAUGGAGCCGAGAACUUCACUUCUGAAGUGCCCGUCCAUGCAUUUACCCUCGCCGGGGACGCAUAUAACAAUGUUCUCCACUCCAUUGCAGAAAAUUCUCCGGGUGGGAAGUUUCAUACCACCCCUGUUCCAGAAAGGCCAAAACUAUCAGCACCCUUCUCGAAGCUACUGGAUAUCCUCCUUGGUGGCAUCCCAAAGAAUGAUGAGAAGCCUCCUAGUCCUAUUUCAGGAAGGGAGCCACUGGACGUGGUAAUUGUAUAUGCCUUUGACAGCACUAACUCGCCCCCUGCCUGGUAUACGGUGGAUGGUGGGAUCUUUUGGUUGGUGCAAGAGAAGCUCACCCACUUCGCUAACAGCUGCAUGGGUUACAUCUACGUCAUGUCCACCCCAAACACGUACACGUCGGACAUGAAAGUAGUUGACCCAGCUGAGACAAAGGACACUGGCUACACAAAAUUUGACUGGCGUAGGUUGACUUGCGCUAAAAACAUGGGAUCAGGCCUUGCCGAGGCUCAUAAAAUGAUCAGCAACCGCGGUUAUCGCAACGGCAUCAUCUUGUUCUUCUCCGAUGGAUUGAUAAACGAGGGCGACUUCUUUGAUGGAACCGAGAACUUCACCUCCAAAGUUCCUGUUCACACAUUUACUCUCGGCGGGGACGCAUAUAACCACGGUCUCCAAGCCAUUGCGGCAAAUUCUCCAGGUGGGACGUUCAACCCCAUUCCAGUUCCAGAGAAACCACAUCUAUCGACGCCCUUCUCAAACCUACUAGAUAGCCUCCUCAACAACACCAUGAAGGACUGA
rnacentral:rRNA from 1 species